rnacentral:rRNA from 1 species
UACGGAGGGUGCAAGCGUUGUUCGGAAUUAUUGGGCGUAAAGAGCGUGUAGGCGGUUUGGCAAGUCAGAUGUGAAAGCCCUGGGCUUAACCCAGGAAGUGCAUUUGAAACUGCUUUACUUGAGUAUGGGAGAGGAGAGUGGAAUUCCCAGUGUAGAGGUGAAAUUCGUAGAUAUUGGGAGGAACACCCGUGGCGAAGGCGACUCUCUGGACCAAUACUGACGCUGAGACGCGAAAGCGUGGGGAGCAAACAGG